rnacentral:rRNA from 1 species
CCAGGAUUCUCCUAGUAACGGCGAGUGAACGGAGAUUAGCCCAUCACCGAAGUCUAUUCGCUUUUGUGAACAGGACAAUGUGGUGUUUAGGCACGCGCCUGGGAUCGUUGACUUGCUCUAAGUCCAACUCCGAUUGCGGCAUUGGAUAUUGUCCAAAGCGGGUGAAAGACCCGUUCGAGCAGGCAUUGUUUAUUUAUACGAUCCCUUGAUGCGUGUGCUAUCGAGUCGGAUUGCUUGAGAAUGCAGUCCAAAGUGGGUGGUAAACUCCAUCCAAGGCUAAAUACUGGCACGAGUCCGAUAGUAGACAAGUACCGUGAGGGAAAGUUGAAAAGUACUCUGAAGAGAGAGUAAAUAGUACGUGAAACCGCUUGCAGAGAAUCAGGUGGAGUCAAGCUUCAU